rnacentral:rRNA from 1 species
AGUGAACGCUGGCGGUAGGCCUAACACAUGCAAGUCGAACGGCAGCACAGUAAGAGCUUGCUCUUACGGGUGGCGAGUGGCGGACGGGUGAGGAAUACAUCGGAAUCUACUUUUUCGUGGGGGAUAACGUAGGGAAACUUACGCUAAUACCGCAUACGACCUACAGGUGAAAGCAGGGGAUCCUCGGACCUUGCGCGAUUGAAUGAGCCGAUGUCGGAUUAGCUAGUUGGCGGGGUAAAGGCCCACCAAGGCGACGAUCCGUAGCUGGUCUGAGAGGAUGAGCAGCGACACUGGAACUGAGACACGGUCCAGAGACAUACGGGAGGCAGCAGUGGCGAAUAUUGGAGGAUGGGCGCAAGCCUGAUCCAGCAAUGCCGCGUGGGUGAAGAAGGCCUUCGGGUUGUAAAGCCCUUUUGUUGGGAAAGAAAAACAGCAGAUGAAAACCCCGCUGUUCGGACGGUACACAAGCAAUAAGCACCGGCUAACGUAGUG